rnacentral:rRNA from 1 species
GUUUUAGAUGGGAAGUGUCUAAAAUUAAAUAGUGUUAUGACUUUACGUUAGUUAAGUAAAUUUAUCUUUUGUUUAAGAACCCCCUUUCUUAAAACUAUUUAUUAUUAUGAUAGAAUAAGUAUAUUUAAUGACUUAUAGGAACUUGAAAAUUUUACAACUGUUUAUCAAAAACAUUUCCUUUAGAAAAUAUUUAAAGGUAAUACCUGCCCUAUGUUUUGUUUAUCAAUGGCUGCGGUAUACUAACUGCACUAAGGUAGCAUAAUUAAUUGUCUUUUAAAUGGUGACUUGUUUGAACGGUUUUAUGAGAGAAGAUUUUUCUUUAAGUUAGUUAUAAUUUAUAAUUUAAGGUUAAGAUACCUAAAUUUUAUAGAAAGACGAGAAGACCCUGUUGAGUUUUACAGUGUAUACCAGCUGUUUAAAUGGGACAUUUUAUUUCUUGGUGAAAUAUGAUAGAUCCUAAGUUAUAAGCUUAGAAAAAGGACAAAAUUACCACAGGGAUAACAGGACUAUAUUUACUGAGAGGCCAAAUUGAAGUAAAUGUUUGUUACCUCGAUGUUGAAUCGAAAUUUCUUUUUGGUGCAGCAGCCAAAAUAGUAGGUCUGUUCGACCUUUAAAAUUUCACGUGAUUUGAGUUAAGACCGGCGUAAGCCAGGUUGGUUUCUAUCUUCUAUUGAUUAUUUUUUGUACGAAAGGAAUCAAAUAA